rnacentral:rRNA from 1 species
GACGAACGCUGGCGGCGUGCUUAACACAUGCAAGUCGAACGCAGUGGCGAACGGGUGAGUAACUCGUAAUCAACCUGCUCUUCUGCGGGGGACAACAGUUUGAAACGUCUGCUCAUACCGCAUUCUGAAGGUGGGGCUUGCGUGGGAUUAGCUAGUUGGAGGGGUAACGGCCCACCAAGGCGAUGAUCAGUAGCCGAUCUGAGAGGAUGAACGGCCACAGUGGGACUGAGACACGGCCCAGACUCCUACGGGAGGCAGCAGUGGGGAAUAUUGGACAAUGGGCGCAAGCCUGAUGCAGCCAUGCCGCGUGUAUGAAGAAGGCCUUCGGGUUGUAAAGUACUGUCAGCGAGGAGCGGUACUCGCAGAAGAAGCACCGGCUAACUCCGUGCCAGCAGCCGCGGUAAUAC